AUUGAACGCUGGCGGCAUGCUUUACACAUGCAAGUCGAACGGUAACAGGCCUUCGGGUGCUGACGAGUGGCGAACGGGUGAGUAAUGCAUCGGAACGUACCCAGAGGUGGGGGAUAACGCAGCGAAAGCUGUGCUAAUACCGCAUGUGAUCUGAGGAUGAAAGCGGGGGACCGAGCAGCAAUGUUUGGCCUCGCGCCUUUGGAGCGGCCGAUGUCGGAUUAGCUAGUUGGUGGGGUAAUGGCCUACCAAGGCGACGAUCCGUAGCUGGUCUGAGAGGACGACCAGCCACACUGGGACUGAGACACGGCCCAGACUCCUACGGGAGGCAGCAGUGGGGAAUUUUGGACAAUGGGCGCAAGCCUGAUCCAGCAAUGCCGCGUGCGGGAAGAAGGCCUUCGGGUUGUAAACCGCUUUUGGCAGGAACGAAACGGUGUCCGCUAAUACCGGGCGCUAAUGACGGUACCUGCAGAAUAAGCACCGGCUAACUACGUG
rnacentral:rRNA from 1 species